UACGGAGGGUGCAAACGUUGCUCGGAAUCAUUGGGCGUAAAGCGCACGUAGGCGGCGCGUUAAGUCUGGUGUGAAAGCCCUGGGCUCAACCCAGGAAGUGCAUUCGAAACUGGCGCGCUUGAAUAUGGAAGAGGGUCGCGGAAUUCCCGGUGUAGAGGUGAAAUUCGUAGAUAUCGGGAGGAACACCAGUGGCGAAGGCGGCGACCUGGGCCAAUAUUGACGCUGAGGUGCGAAAGCGUGGGGAGCAAACAGG
rnacentral:rRNA from 1 species